rnacentral:rRNA from 1 species
UGCAAGUCGCACGAGAAAGUCCACCUUCGGGUGGGUUAGUAAAGUGGCGCACGGGUGAGUAACACGUGGGUAAUCUGCCUUUAAGCUUGGGAUAACACUGCGAAAGCGGUGCUAAUACCGAAUAUGCUCACGGUUUUAUUUCUGUGAGAAAAGAUGGCCUCUGUUUCAUGCUAUCACUUAAAGAUGAGCCCGCGGACCAUUAGCUUGUUGGUGGGGUAAAGGCCUACCAAGGCGAUGAUGGUUAGCUGGCCUGAGAGGGCGGCCAGCCACACUGGAACUGAGACACGGUCCAGACUCCUACGGGAGGCAGCAGUGGGGAAUAUUGCGCAAUGGGGGAAACCCUGACGCAGCGACGCCGUGUGAGUGAUGAAGGUUUUCGGAUCGUAAAGCUCUGUCAGAUGGGAAGAAUAAGACUACGUAAAAUAUACGUGGACGAUGACGGUACCAUCAGAGGAAGCACCGGCUAACUCCGUGCCAGCAGCCGCGGUAAUACGGAGGGUGCAAGCGUUGUUCGGAAUUACUGGGCGUAAAGCGCGUGUAGGCGGAUUUGUAGGUCAGAUGUGAAAGCCCUCAGCUUAACUGAGGAAGUGCAUCUGAAACCGCAUGUCUUGAGUACGAGAGAGGAAAGUGGAAUUCCCAGUGUAGAGGUGAAAUUCAUAGAUAUUGG